CGAAAGCCUGACGGAGCAAGACCGCGUGGGGGAGGAAGGCUCUAGGGUUGUAAACCCCUUUUCUUUGGGAAGAACAAAAUGACGGUACCAAAGGAAUCAGCCUCGGCUAACUCCGUGCCAGCAGCCGCGGUAAUACGGAGGAGGCAAGCGUUAUCCGGAAUUAUUGGGCGUAAAGCGUCCGCAGGUGGCAAUUCAAGUCUGCUGUCAAAGCACGGGGCUUAACUCCGUAAAGGCAGUGGAAACUGAAUAGCUAGAGUGCCGUAGGGGUAGAGGGAAUUCCCGGUGUAGCGGUGAAAUGCGUAGAUAUCGGGAAGAACAUCGGUGGCGAAGGCGCUCUACUGGACUGCAACUGACACUCAGGGACGAAAGCUGGGGGAGCG
rnacentral:rRNA from 1 species